AACAAACGCUGGCGGCGUGCCUAAUACAUGCAAGUCGAACGGGGAAAGUAGCAAUACGAGUACUAGUGGCGCACGGGUGAGGAAUACAUGGGUAAUCUGCCCUCGAGCUCGGGAUAACCAGUCGAAAGACUGGCUAAUACCGGAUAUGACCACAAGAUCUGAGGAUCAAGGGGUAAAAGGUUUUUCGCUUGAGGAUGAGCCCAUGUGGGAUUAGCUAGUUGGUGUAGGUAACGGCUCACCAAGGCGACGAUCCCUAACUGGUCUUAGAGGAUGAUCAGUCACACUGGAACUGAGACACGGUCCAGACUCCUACGGGAGACAGCAGUAGGGAAUAUUGCACAAUGGAGGAAACUCUGAUGCAGCGACGCCGCGUGAGUGAUGAAGGCCUUAGGGUUGUAAAGCUCUUUUACCCGGGAUGAUAAUGACAGUACCGGGAGAAUAAGCCCCGGCUAACUCCGUGCCAGCAGCCGCGGUAAU
rnacentral:rRNA from 1 species